rnacentral:lncRNA from 1 species
GGUGAUGUUCUGCUGCUGCCGGGCGGGCCAGCCUGUAACUCAGGCGUUGGCGGGAGCCUCGUGCUCCGCGGGGCUUCUUGAAGAGGGUGAGGUGUGGGGGUACCGUCCUGUAGGCAGGGCUGUGUGUGCCCCCCCGUGUGUGCUUGGUGAGCUGCGUUCUGAGAGACCCCCUGUACUCAGGUGGGAAUGUGGCCCCGGCCUUUCAGAGGCGCGGGGCCGUGAGAUGCGGGGUGGGG